AGGGCACCACCAGGAGUGGAGCCUGCGGCUUAAUUUGACUCAACACGGGAAAACUCACCCGGCCCGGACACCGUAAGGAUUGACAGACUGAGAGCUCUUUCUUAAUUCGGUGGGUGGUGGUGCAUGGCCGUUCUUAGUUGGUGGAGCGAUUUGUCUGGCUAAUUCCGAUAACGAACGAGACUCUGGCCUAUUAAAUAGACGGUAUAUCGAAAAGUAUAUCGCGCUUCUUAGAGGGACAAGCGGCGUCUAGCCGCAUGAAAUAGAGCAAUAACAGGUCUGUGAUGCCCUUAGAUGUCCGGGGCUGCACGCGCGCUACACUGAAAGAAUCAGUGGGCGUUAUACCUAGCUCGGAAGAGCCGGGUAACCCAAGUAAUUUCUUUCGUGCUUGGGAUAGGGAAUUGCAAUUAUUUCCCUUAAACGAGGAAUUCCCAGUAAACGCGGGUCAUAAGCUCGUGUUGAUUACGUCCCUGCCCUUUGUACACACCGCCCGUCGCUACUACCGAUUGGAUGACUUAGUGA
rnacentral:rRNA from 1 species